GCUCCUUUAGUUCAGUUGGUAGAACGGCGGACUGUUAAUCCGUAUGUCGUAAGUUCGAGUCUUGCAAGGAGCGCCA
rnacentral:tRNA from 1 species